rnacentral:rRNA from 1 species
CCUACGGGUGGCAGCAGUGAGGAAUAUUGGUCAAUGGGCGUAAGCCUGAACCAGCCAAGUCGCGUGAGGGAUGAAGGUUCUAUGGAUCUUAAACCUCUUUUAUAAGGGAAUAAAGUGUGGGGAGUGUCCUGUUUUUUAUGUACCUUAUGAAUAAGGAUCGGCUACCUCCGUGCCAGCAGCCGCGGUAAUACGGAGGAUCCGAGCGUUAUCCGGAUUUAGUGGGUUUAAAGGGUGCGUAGGCGGCCUUUUCAGUCAGCGGUGAAAGUCUGUGGCUCAACCAUAGAAUUGCCGUUGAAACUGGGAGGCGUGAGUAUGUUUGAGGCAGGCGGAAUGCGUGGUGUAGCGGUGAAAUGCUUAGAUAUCACGCAGAACCCCGAUUGCGAAGGCAGCCUGCCAAGCCAUGACUGACGCUGAUGCACGAAAGCGUGGGGAUCAAACAGGAUUAGAUACCCUAGUAGUC